UCGUGCUAGACGGGGAGUCAGCGGUGCCCUGUAGCCCGCAAUCCGCUACAGCGGGGUCGAAGUCCCCAUCCGAGGUCCCAACCGGUUUCGAUGUCGUGGAAGCCAAGGGGCUUCGACGGCCAGGUCCCGCGCAACGGGCCACCGCCGAACCCCGUCAGGACCGGAAGGUAGCAGCGGUAGGCGGGACGGUCCGGGUGCCGUGGGUUCCCCUGGCCUGAGCCAACAGCUUUCGCGGCUCGGGAACGGAGGAUCGAGGUGGGGUGCACGG
rnacentral:SRP_RNA from 2 species